GUAGACACAUUCCAGCCAAUCAGCAGCAGACCCUCCCUCCCAGACCCUCCCACCUCCUGGACAGCAUCCAUUUUACAUUCAUUGUGAAGCUGCAUUCUUAGUGAGCUGUCCAGGAGGUGGGAGGGUCUGGGAGGGAGGGUCUGCUGCUGAUUGGCUGGAAUGUGUCUG